rnacentral:rRNA from 1 species
UGGGGAAUAUUGCACAAUGGGCGCAAGCCUGAUGCAGCCAUGCCGCGUGUGUGAAGAAGGCCUUCGGGUUGUAAAGCACUUUCAGCGAGGAGGAAGGUGGUGGACUUAAUACGUUCAUCAAUUGACGUUACUCGCAGAAGAAGCACCGGCUAACUCCGUGCCAGCAGCCGCGGUAAUACGGAGGGUGCAAGCGUUAAUCGGAAUUACUGGGCGUAAAGCGCACGCAGGCGGUUUGUUAAGUCAGAUGUGAAAUCCCCGGGCUCAACCUGGGAACUGCAUUUGAAACUGGCAAGCUAGAGUCUCGUAGAGGGGGGCUAGAAUUCCAGGUGUAGCGGUGAAAUGCGUAGAGAUCUGGAGGAAUACCGGUGGCGAAGGCGGCCCCCCUGGACGAAGACUGACGCUCAGGUGCGAAAGCGUGGGG